GCAAUGUUGAACUGCGAGUUUAUAUUGUUUAUCCUGGCAUAAUCUAGCCCAGCGUGUUCACUUCUUUCCCUGGAAAUCCUUCCAGAAGCAUACUCAGUAGCAACAGCCAAAUGCUGCCCCCUUGUCUCGGGCCCACGGGUAUCACUGGUCAGCACACAGCAUUUGCCCUGCAACAUUAUCUUCUGCUCUUCUCCACAAACAAGGACUGAGCAGCAUGAAGAAGAUGACAAUAGAUGGACACGGCAUGUGUCCUGCCCCUUGUAGGCAGUAGGACAAGGUGCCAAAGUGAGGCUGUAGUCUAGCACCAGUGAAUGGCUUUAAAGAAAAGCAAAUGUCCUCUCAUUCAAAAUUUAGUUUGAAGAAAGUGUGUUGCACACUUGGCUACUCCUGUUCUAUUUGAACAAAUUGCAGAAACUCACUACCAACCAAAGAAGUUUCAUGUGGGACUUUAGAAAACAUGUUCACUCUUAAUUCUUAUUUUCAAGUAUUUUAAGUAUCUAUUUUCAUUUGCAAAUAUGAAGGGAAAGAGUAGCAAGAAUACAAUCUUUUUUCAUGUAAACAUACAGCAUUUUUAUUGUGGAGAAAAUUAAACACUUCACAUUGUCCUGGUACACACAUGUACAAGCAUUGCAUAUAUCUUUUUUUCAACUUAUACUGUCUUGCAUAACCAGUUUCUAGUAUCUGUUUUAACAAACCUAUGCUUCAGAGUGCCACAGUGACAUAUCUUUCUACAAUUAGUGCUUGUUUGUAUCUUUCAAGUGGUAUUUAAUGAGUUUAUUUCCUUUUCAUCUAAGCAUUUAAAAUAACUGGCUGGGUCAUUUUAAUUUACAAAUCGCAGACAAGGUUUGAAUCAUUUCCUCUAAUUGUUUUCUUUUAUCAUGUGUUUCUUGAGAUACAAUUUAAGAUAGCCAGAACAAUGACAUUCUCAUGUAGUUUUCCGUAUAUUCAACACCUUCCUGGAUAGACAAAUCUGUGUUCAGCCUCGUCCCUCCAGUAGAUGUCAUCGUGACAAUGGAAAAUAUUGCUGGGGAUGCUCAUGAUGAGAUGUCCUGUGCCAAGGGAGGAGAAAAGCUUUGCUUCAGUAGACUUUGUUUCUAUCGAGAUGAUAGUUCUCUGAGUGGUUAGCAUUUAGAGCGAGCACUUCACUUUUAUAAUGCUUCCAAAAGCGUGGUGACUAGCAAAACACGGUCAUCAGUCAGGUCACAGGGCUGUGGUUUAUGGCAGUGGUGUUAUACACUCAGAAGGUCACAAAUACAGAUAUAUAUGUGCAGACAUGCACACGCAAUACUCAGUCAACUGCUUGGGUUUUUUAUUCCAGCUAUAUGGCUUCGUUCAUUUGGCAUCCCUUGCUCAAAGCCAUCAUAUGCUUUCUCUUAUAUAUAUAUAUAUAUAUAUAUUCUUUCCCCCUACAUCCUCCUUAAAAGUAAUUGCUCCAAAGGAAAACUCAAAUCCUCCUACUUCAUUUCUACCACGAAUGAAUCUCUGCACCUGUCAGCCCCUGACCUGCUGGGCGCCCUGUCCAUUUUAAGAUUCACAGCUUCUUGAGUGAGUGAUGUGUCUUACUAUGGUUAUUUAGCAGUGAGUAAAUCCACAGCCCUACAAUAUAACUGGUCAUAAUUUUAAUCUGUCAAACAUAGAGCAAGUCUCCAGAAAAGGCAAGAGACAGGUCAGUCACUGGCAGUGACAUGCACAAGGGCUGCAAAGCUGGAACACACACAAAGAGAAAAGAAUUAGAAAAAUGUGUUGAAAAUGCGUUUAGCUAUUAUCAAAUGUUGGUCUGAUUUUCUCAGGCAAUAGCAUCUAAGAUCAUGAAGUCUUGGCAUAGGAAAAUGGCACCUUUUCCCCCCUUGGAAGUCCCAGCAGUUUGAUUGCAUAUGUGAUACGUAUUUAAUAUGUGUGGUCCCUUUUUAAAGUUAGACAAUGCUACGCUCAUGUUCUGUGUGACAGAGUGAUAUUAUGGUAAGAUGCCUUCAGAUAAAACGGAGCACAAGCUGAGCCACGUGAAGCAAGAAGGCUGCUGGGCUGAAAUGCAACUUUCUAAAAAUCAACAGGGUGCAGCAAUAUCAAACACCAAGCCCACAAUUUGAAUGUUCUCUCUUCUCUAGAUAAUAGCCCUAUAAAUAAUAAGUUUUUCUACUUUAAAAUGUCAGGCUUUGAGGAAGUACAUAGCAAGAAACCAGGGCAUUAAUGGGCCGAUUAACUUAAGAGUUUGCUUCCCCACCUCUGAGAUCAGCAUUGUUAGUUCUGGGAAAAAUGACCAAAUUAUUAAACCAAAUCUGUGACCUCCUACACUAAGAGGAAAGCAAGCCUCACUGGCAAGAUCUUUUUAUUGUUCACAUUCUUAAAAAAAUAAAAAGUUGCGGAAAUUUUCUCCUUGACUAAGUAGAAAGGCUCUCUGCUGCGAGGAAAAUGUUUAGUCAAAAUAAACAGCUGAUGCUCUUGUCCAAGCAAGAACAGAAACCUGGUCUGACUGUCUGAGUAAGUGAAACCAUCUCUUAAAAUAGCAGAAAAACCCCAUAAGCAUCUAUAAAGAUAAAUGGAGAGGGAGGAAUGCGGAGACUUGUUUAAGUUUGGGCGCUGUCAAAGUAGUAUGGAGCUGGCAAAGAAAGGGGGUCCUAGUCCUCAGGAAACUUUGUAUAUUUUAUUACCAGAAUUAAUAUAAAAGAAAACAGUAAAAAAAAAAAAACUCUAAACAAACACAGUAACAUUGUAAGGACUGCGAUGGUGUAGGUAUUAACUAUAAAAGCAGAAGUCAGAAAAGGUAGCAGAAGUCAUUACCUCAUGGCUAGUUUGCAUUUUUGCUUCAAGCGUGGGGCUUCUUUGUUACACUUAUACUCCUAUUUAAGAAUACAUACAUUCCCAUUAUCAGUGAUCCCAUUCUAAAAGCAUUCCGUAUUACUGUAAUUUAGCACUUGAAGUUUCACUUAAGUCUUAAAAUAUUCAGUCUGUAACUUGUUACUUUAGGAGGAGAGGAUAAGUGCUGCUGAUAAAAGCCCAAAAGAUCACAAAGAGCUCUCACUCAGUUCUCUGCAUCUGCCUUAAAGCUGGAUCAAAUAUAUCUGAACCGUUUGUAAAAGCUGAUGGUAAUUCCACAUUUUCUUCCCACAAUCUGCUCCAGGUGCAGAACUGUCUGCACAGCUAGGGCAGGACUUCCCCGCAGCUACCUUCUGCCUCCCUUGCUGCAGCUUAGCCCUGUGAUAUGUUACCCUAUCUACUCUAUAACAAAUAUUACCUAAUAGUACCACACCACCCUCCUCAUCAGCACUGUGAGGAGGAAGCAGUAAGCUCAGCCCUCAUGCGAACUGAGCAUCACCACAGCAGCUCUGCCCCAGCCUGGUCCUGGGGACAGGCAUUAGGUGGGACACAACUGAGUUCACUCCCUGGGAGCGGCAUAGGGCCUAUGACUCACAUCUGACCAUCAGCAUCUCCUGAGAAGAGCACACAGCUGACAGCCCUCAGGAACCCAGCUGUUCAUCUUCCUAUAGGCAGGCAGCAAGGCAAUGCAUAUGCACAUUCCCUGUACUGUCAACGUGCUCAGGCAUGCAUGGGUUGGGAGGGAAAUUUUCUGUAAAAAUAACAAUUAGCAAAUAUCUGAACAACCACAAAAGUGCAGGAAUCCUCAAAUUGCCUUGCAUCAUUUUUUCUCCUGCUCUUUCUCCCUUUCCUUUCACAGCACCUCCACCAGCCCUUCCUGCUCCUCAUUUAUGCAGCGAGAAGGAGCCCCACGCAGGCACCACAAACAGUUGUGGUUGGGAAGAGGAAAUCCAGCUCAGCUGUGAUAAUUAGAAUAGCUUUGAUACUUUAAUUGAGCUGCUAAUACCAGUGCAGGGAUGUUGCAUAAAAGCCUGGUGGCUGUCAGCCUCUUCUUUAGUCCUGCUUACAGAGAGGGCUGUGGGGUGUGUGUUCUGGGAUGGGUGUCUACACCUUCCUUCCAGUUUUCCCUCUGUUUACAAGUAGAGCCCCCUCUGACUCCAUCACAGUGUUGUGCAGUUGCUUGUGUGUCCUCUGAGAGCGAGCAACUCUGUGCAUUUCUUCUCUUCCUUUUUCUUAUCUCAAGAGCUGGUUUCUACAACUCUGGCCUGCACGGGCCCUGCUAUAAGGUCUGUGCCAGUCCCCUCAAGCAGUUAAUCUUAGUAGUGAAUGUAGUUACAAACCUGCCUAUGCACUUCUAGCUUCUGCCUGGUGCAGUGUGUUCUCAGGGAAGCGUGAGGAAGAAGUAAUGGGCUUCUUUUCUUCAGCUUUUAACGUGUCUUGGUUACUGGAACUGUUUUCAAGGAGGAUGUCACACCAGGAGCCUCCAGAGUGCUGUGCAUUUGCUACCAAGCUCUUACAGCUCUACUGAUUUGAAGGAUGGCUUGGUGCUUGCUCGUGGUCCCGGUUAGAGGCUCUUUAGGAGAGCAGAGCAAGUUCUGGAUGUAGCUGACAAUGUUAGCUGAUUUUCUAAUCAAGACUAAGAUGCUCUUCAUACUGAAGUGAGCGUUGUUCUGCCCUGACGGAAAUUGGAUUGCUCUGCAAAGGUGCUACCAGCGUGCAGCCACAGCAAGGCUGGGACAGAGGGCUGAUCAAAUGCUGCUCCUGGAGUUCGGUUGGUCGCUCUCCCUGAACAGUGCCCUUCUCGAUGUCUUACAGCUACGGAUUUGGUAUCAGCUCAGAUGACUGGAAAUAUCUGCUGUUUUUUCCCAACGUCCAGAUGUGCUGUUUUUUUUAAAUGUUGAAUUGUGCUUUAAAAACAUGGUCAUAUGACAGAGAUUACAGUUGUUAAGUAUUCACUUAUCAAGGAUUUCUAUUUUUGAAGAAGCAAACAACUCCAUUAUAGCUUGCAAUCUAAAUAUAAGAGCUUAUAAGCUAAAUAUAAGAGCUUAUAAUGAAAAGCACAUACCAAAAAGUUGAGACAGGCUGAACCUUUAGAUUCCAAACUAUUUUCCCGAGCAAUGAGAAAAUUUUAUGAAAUCUAAAGGAAACUACUUCCUGGAAAAACUCUGUCUAAAACAACGCUGAGCUGCCCUGACUGCUGGGGUAGUGGAACAAACGUUUGGAGGCUUUGUAGCCCCCCCCCAUUAGAGGAAAAUUUGAAAUAGAUUUUUAAUGAGGUGGGAAAAGCUGCCACUAGCAUAAGGCUAGAAGGGUGUAGAUGGCACGUGCCUCUGUGCACAGAAUUAUCAAGCGUUACUGAGGAGAAGAUGUACUGCAGUUCGGAGCAUUUAGAGUAUUUAAGGCUUAAGUCACAAGGAUGCCUGAAGCACUACAGUGAUUUAAGUAGAAGUAUUAAAAUCUGUUGAAUGAAUACCAGCUGAACUGUCUUCUUUCGAUAACGCGACUUGAAGUUGCAGAACUGUCAGUGUAUCUCAUAUGCUGCUUGUGAAUUGCUUGCCUUUUAUUUGUGUGUGAUUCAUUACUUUUACUAAUUAUUAGAGCUGUAACGCGUCAGUAUCAUUAAUAACUAAUCACAGCGUGACCUCACCACAUCUCCUGCAACUAACAGGGUCACUCGGCAUGUCAUCUGUGUCACAACCCCCAUCAGCACUGCAAUGUAAUGUUCCCAGCAGUACCCAUUCUCCCUCCUGAUGCUGUGCACAUGCCAGGUCUGAGAAUAUAGGCUAAUAAAUUGGGUUUUAAACUCCUUUUCGAUUGCUGCAUCGCACGCUGCUCCCAGAUCUGCAGGACUGAGCAUGAAACCAGGUCUGGAAACAGAAUCGUGUUUUUAAAACAGGCUUUUCUUUUUUUUCCACUUGGUUAUCUUCAUGUUGAAUUGAAUCAGUUUGGCUGUUCAGGUAAUUGUUUGGUCACAGAAACCAUGAGGGUCUUACGAAUAGGUGGAAGUGUUCUGGCGGGAUUUGCCUACAUCUGCACUGUUGGUGGCAGAAGGUUGUGGAAAAGCAAAGAAACUCUGUUACUUAAUGACAAAUAGAAGGGAAAAAGAGCAUUAAGCACUCUGGCUCUGAUUCAGAUGUUCUUUCUAAGAUUAAAAAAAACCCCACACUUAACAUUCUAUUUAGUUGUUCCUGAGAUUGUCAUUUAAUUGUCUCUUCAUCGUGCUGUAGUACAAUACCAAAGCUCCCUCACACCUUUGUUGGAAUGAAUACCAUCUCUCUUUUCAGACCUUUCUACCCAGUGUUGUAGAAACUGAUGCCAGAAUGAAUUUAGACCAUAAAAACAGUAGGAGUAAUACAAAGAGAAAUGAGUUAAGAAAGGCAUUUAUGUUC